AACGAACGCUGGCGGCAUGCCUAACACAUGCAAGUCGAACGGGGUGAGAGAGCUUGCUCUUUCAUCUAGUGGCGCACGGGUGAGUAACGCGUGGAUAAUCUGCCUGAUGCUCUGGGAUAACAUCUCGAAAGGGGUGCUAAUACCGGAUAAGCCCACGGAGUCUUCGGACUUUGCGGGAAAAGGGGGGGACCUUCGGGCCUUCCGACCUCAGAUGAGUCCGCGUCCCAUUAGCUAGUUGGUGGUGUAAAGGACCACCAAGGCGACGAUGGGUAGCUGGUCUGAGAGGAUGAUCAGCCACACCGGAACUGAGACACGGUCCAGACUCCUACGGGAGGCAGCAGUGGGGAAUUUUGCGCAAUGGGCGAAAGCCUGACGCAGCAACGCCGCGUGAGUGAUGAAGGCUUUCGGGUCGUAAAGCUCUGUCAAUGGGAAAGAAGUGUAUUUUGGCUAAUAUCCUUAAUACUUGACGGUACCCAUAAAGGAAGCACCGGCUAACUCCGUGCCAGCCGCCGCCGUAAAAC
rnacentral:rRNA from 1 species